rnacentral:sRNA from 1 species
GGGCAGUGGAUGGGACUGGGCGCCACGGAGCAGGGGCAGUGCUCAUUAGGGAGGUGCUGACUGCGCAGGAGCCCGUGGGCGGGGAUGGGGAGGCUCAGGCAUGGCGGGCUGCAGGUCUCGGGGAGGCAGCUAAGGCCCUGUGAGAAAUCGAGCACAGCAGCUGGUGGCCCAGGUGCUAAGCCCCUCACUGCCCGGCGCCAGUCGCUCCGAGUGCGGGGGCUCGCCAAGCCCACGCCCACCUGGAACUCGUGCUGGCGCAGAAGCGUGGCGCGCAGCCGCAGUUCCCGCCCGUGCCUCUCCUUCCACACCGCCCAGCAAGCUGAGGGAGCCGGCCUUGGCCAGCCCAGAAAGGGGCUCCCACAGUGCAGCAGCGGGCUGAAGGGCUCCUCAAGCGUGACCAGAGUGGGCGUCAAGGCCGAGGAGGUGCCGAGAGUGAGCAAGGGCUGCUAGCACGCUGUCACCUCUCAAGGGGUCUUAUCUGGCUUGCCAAAACAUCAAAGACCUAGACGUUUUUGCCAGAACGCAGGAAGUUAAAGUGGACCCUGAUAAACCACUGGAAGGCGUUCGGCUGCUGGCGC